rnacentral:ncRNA from 15 species
GCUGUGGUAUAAUGGCUAGAAUAUAAGACUGUCACUCUUGGGAUCCGGGUUCAAUUCCCGGCA